UACGUAGGUGGCAAGCGUUGUCCGGAUUUACUGGGUGUAAAGGGCGUGUAGACGGGUUUGAAAGUCAGGUGUGAAAUGCCGCAGCUUAACUGCGGAGCUGCAUUUGAAACUUCAAAUCUUGAGUGUGGGAGAGGAAAGCGGAAUUCCUAGUGUAGCGGUGAAAUGCGUAGAUAUUAGGAGGAACACCAGUGGCGAAGGCGGCUUUCUGGACCAUAACUGACGUUGAGGCGCGAAAGCGUGGGGAGCAAACAGG
rnacentral:rRNA from 1 species